UACGGAGGAGGCAAGCGUUAUCCGGAAUUAUUGGGCGUAAAGCGUCCGCAGGUGGCACCUCAAGUCUGCUGUCAAAGACCGGGGCUUAACCCCAGAAAGGCAGUGGAAACUGAAGUGCUAGAGUGCAGUAGGGGUAGAGGGAAUUCCCGGUGUAGCGGUGAAAUGCGUAGAGAUCGGGAAGAACACCGAUGGCGAAGGCACUCUGCUGGGCCGACACUGACACUGAAAGACGAAAGCCAGGGGAGCGAAUGGG
rnacentral:rRNA from 1 species